AAAGGGGCUGCUUACUAAAAGCGGAGCCAUUCCUGCUGAUCAAGUAUCCAUGUGGCGUUUCUGAGUUGAGGUUUAAAGGACAGCAACUACUGUGAGGUUCUUGCUACAGAUGGAUUUGCGAAUCUGAAAGCUGCUUUAGAACAGUGGAGUCAUUUUGAAUUCUACAACAACGUAAUGACUUCACAAGGUCCAAGAUGAGGAAAGGCAUAUCUUCCUCUAUGGAACUGUUUUCUUCUUGUUCAUCCACUGAGGACUCCUGGAGUCACAGAGAUACCCAAAUUUGCACUGUGCUGCAGCUCCAGGCUUGGUCUCCAGGUUGGUCUUCACAGAGAAGCAAAAGGAGCCUCAUAAUGGAAACCAUCUGUUAACAACGGAAACAGACGAUUUGGCGGAAAACAAACCGGUCUGAAGAACUAAUUGUUCACAAAGGGAACACACCCCCAUCAAUGAUUUCAAAAAUUUUCACCCAGAGAAGGCUACUCUUUCCUUUUAUAAACAAUGAUGAGUCAGAUGAAGGAACCAGCAUUGUCAUCGCUCAUACAGAAAGAUCAGAUAGAGAUAUGUUUCUCCAACCUUAUAAACACUGACUAGUCACCCUUUGGCACUACCUAUAGGAGUAUUAGUAAAUCAAAGGUUAAAGAUAGAAACAUCUUUUGAAACUUUCUCCCCACACUUAUUAAAAAGAUUUUAUAGGCUACCAAAUAUAAAAAGCACUACAAAAUUGCAUGUGUUAUUGUAAAAUCCAUGCAAAUUUAAUAUUCUGUUCCAUCAAAUAUGUACAUUUCAAUAAGAAAUGUUUCCCUAAAAUCCCUAAAUAAGGUCAAAGCUCUACAAGAAUGUGCCAAGUAUUUGUCAGAACUCUCAAAAACAACCACCCCCUAGGGGUGUGAGGAGUCCAGUUGAAAAACAUAGCCUGAGUUAACUCCACCAUCUUCUUUAAAGCUAGAAAAAGAACACAAUCACAUGAUUUCAAAGAACAUUACCACCUACUCCAACCACCUCAUUUUCUACCUUAUAAAACUAAGAUUCAAAGUGGUCAAUAAAAAUGUCUGAAGUCAAAAAGCUAGCUAGAAGCAGAACUGGAACCAGAACCUGUAUUCACCAACUGCUAGUUCAGUCCUCCUGGCUGAAGAUGAGUAAUUCUCUACAACCAGCAGGGAACAGGACUAUGGCAGGUCUCCUAUACAGACUAAUAUACGUUUGGGGGUCAUCUAAACCCUGCUGGGUGUCCAGAGUUGUCAUGGGAAGCAGGAAGAGAGGAGGCAGAACUGCCCUUCAAGUAGGGAAAGAUUGUGAGCUCUCCACGAUAAGGUGAAUUCUAGGAGGAAGUAAUAAGUCCCACUGGUACAUUCUAAAGACAGAGCCUCAAAUCUCAAUGCCAACAACAAAAUGCACUGGACUCGACAAUCCGUGGUGCUCUCUGUGCCUGACACGUCCACAUGCAGUUCUGUGGCUCUGUGGACAAGUGGCCACGUGCAAUUCUUUGUGCAGAAAGUUUUAAUCACUUCAACCACAUCAUUCUGCUAUUCUGACCACACCUGAGCGCAUCGGGGAGGGUGAUUAAGCCAAAGGUUACGAUAAAUUGGCUGAAUAUGUGACGUGCCAGUGGCUGAGGAGGCUGCUAGAAGGGAGACAGUCCCAAGGGACAGUCCUCACUGGAAGGUAAGAAACAAGACAAUCAUGCUUGCUCCUCAGUCUGAAAUCAAAUAAAUGUGUAACUAUUGCUCAAAACCAGUGAUGUUUCAUAGGAGGAGGAUGGCUGUGUAUCUACAUUUGAAUGUGGUAAAAUUUUUGUUGAUAUUCCUUUUCACUGGGGCCAAAGAUCAACAACCAACACAUCUACAUAAGAAUAUACAUAUACAGAAAACAUUGUCCCCUUCUCAGGAACGUUCUUUCUUGACACUAUUGAUAGUAAGGAGAGGGACAGAGAAGAGAAACUACACUGUAUUGUAUAUUCUCUUGAAAUACCAGUGUUCUGACAGUGGGAACUCUGUAUACUAGCAUGAAUAGUGACUCUAUCAAACAAAGUUCUUAGGAUAUUUUAGUCAAACACUUUCACUUACAUAUGAAACAACUCAAGUCCAGUUGCACAUAGCUAGCUAAAAGCCAAAAAUGGUGUUCUCAACACGCAUCUAUCACCUAGUAAGGGUGUAAUGCUGGGUUGACUAGGAAAAAUAAGGGAAGAUUCUAGAAAGGUUACACAUGAUUAUUUCAGAUCUUAAUAUUUAAUGAAUAAAACACUACCUUCCCCAAGGAAGCUGGGAAAGAAUCAGAUUCAAAAUAUUUCAGUUGAGGGGGCCUUGGGUGGCUCAGUCAGUUAAGU